rnacentral:rRNA from 1 species
AGUGAACGCUGGCGGCGUGCUUAACACAUGCAAGUCGAACGAGAACGGGUUAUAGCUUGCUAUAAUUGUCAGCUAAGUGGCGCACGGGUGAGUAAUGUAUAGGUAAUAUGCCUCUUACUAAGGGAUAACAAAUGGAAACGUUUGCUAAUACCUUAUACUCCUUAUUAACAUAAGUUAAUAAGGGAAAGAUUUAUUGGUAAGAGAUUAGCCUGUAUUGUAUCAGUUAGUUGGUGGGGUAAUGGCUUACCAAGACUAUGACACAUAACUGGUUUGAGAGGAUGAUCAGUCACAAUGGAACUGAGACACGGUCCAGACUCCGACGGGAGGCAGCAGUGGGGAAUAUUGCACGAUGGACGAAAGUCUGAUGCAGCAACGCCGCGUGGAGGAUGACACAUUUCGGUGCGUAAACUCCUUUUAUAUGAGAAGAUAAUGACGGUAUUAUAUGAAUAAGCACCGGCUAACUCCGUGCCAGCAGCCGCAGUAAAAC